GAUGAAGAACGUAGCGAAAUGCGAUACGUAAUGUGAAUUGCAGAAUUCAGUGAAUCAUCGAAUCUUUGAACGCAUAUUGCGCUCUUUGGUAUUCCGAAGAGCAUGCUUGUUUGAGUAUCAGUAAACACCUCAAAGCUUUUGGAUUUUUUAAUCGAAAAGCUUUGGACUUGAGCAAUCCCAACACCAAUCUUUUUGAGAUCGGUGGCGGGUUGCUUGAAAUGCAGGUGCAGCUGGACAUUCUCCUGAGCUAAAAGAAUAUUCAUUUAGUCCCGUCAAACGGAUUAUUACUUUUGCUGCAGCUAACAUAAAGGGAGUUUGACCGUAUUGGCUGACUGAUGCAGGAUUUCACAAGGGUCGGCAACGAUUCUUGUUAAACUCGAUCUCAAAUCAAGUAAGACUACCCGCUGAACUUAAGCAUAUCAAUAAGCGGAGGA
rnacentral:misc_RNA from 1 species